CAGUUCAUUUUCCUAAUGGUAGGAAAUAAUUUAGAACUUAUCGGUUAGUCGCUUCUAAGGCGUAGGUCGCACGUUCGAAUCGUGCUGGGCAGGCCA
rnacentral:tRNA from 1 species